UCCGUUAUGGUGUAGUGGCUAACAUUAUCGCCUCUCAUCUGUAAGAGUGUGUAAGAGCGCGAUAGCCCAGGGUUCGAUUCCCUGUAACGGAA